rnacentral:rRNA from 1 species
GGAUCAAUAUGUUGGUCGUGCCUUGGUACGUGCUAAUUUAUUGGUUUCUUCCUUCUGACGAACCUUGAUGCCAUUAAUUUGGUGUUGCGGGGAAUUUGGACUGUUACUUUGAAAAAAUUAGAGUGUUUAAAGCAAGCUAACGCUUGAAUACAUUAGCAUGGAAUAAUGAAAUAGGACGUUCGAUCCUAUUUUGUUGGUUUCUAGGAUUGACGUA